GACAACGGGAAUCCUGGCAUCCCGGCAACUAUCUAGUGCCCAAACUGAAAAAUGGUCAGUAUACUCUGCUUUGAGGGCGUGGCAUUACACAGUUUACCAACUUGAAUCUCUGAGACCACAAUUCAAUAUUACAACACCGGACUUUCCUAACUUAAUUACUUGACGAUGCAAAAAAACAUGUUAAAGGGGGAAAAAGAUCUUCCAAAAUCUCAAUAAAUAGUUUCUCGUUGGGAAAGUUGGUAAAAACAAUCUGGGUGAUAUUGCUGUUGACGAUAUCUCCCUGACGCCUGGUGCUUGCCCAACUGCUCCCCAAAUAGCAGCAGCUCAAUCUGGCGACUGUACUUCGAAGUGGAUGAAUGUGAGUGGGGCAAUGUCUUUUGCGAGAGAGAUUGGAUGAUAUCGAUUGGGAACGAACAUCUGGGCUCUCACUGCGGAAUCCAGCACUCCAUGAUCACACUUUAGGAACAGAAAAAGGUACCUUUUAACAUUUUACAGUUUACUUUCACAAUUUUUCACCGGUCCCAAGAACACUUUUAUGCACAACCAAUUGAAUCGGUUUAAGUAGAUACAUCAGAUGCGUUC
rnacentral:lncRNA from 1 species